rnacentral:rRNA from 1 species
GAUGAACGCUGGCGGCGUGCCUAAUACAUGCAAGUCGAGCGAACAGACGAGGAGCUUGCUCCUUCGACGUUAGCGGCGGACGGGUGAGUAACACGUAGGUAACCUACCUAUAAGACUGGGAUAACUUCGGGAAACCGGAGCUAAUACCGGAUAAUAUUUCGAACCGCAUGGUUCGAUAGUGAAAGAUGGCUUUGCUAUCACUUAUAGAUGGACCUGCGCCGUAUUAGCUAGUUGGUAAGGUAACGGCUUACCAAGGCAACGAUACGUAGCCGACCUGAGAGGGUGAUCGGCCACACUGGAACUGAGACACGGUCCAGACUCCUACGGGAGGCAGCAGUAGGGAAUCUUCCGCAAUGGGCGAAAGCCUGACGGAGCAACGCCGCGUGAGUGAUGAAGGUCUUCGGAUCGUAAAACUCUGUUAUUAGGGAAGAACAAACGUGUAAGUAACUGUGCACGUCUAGACGGUACCUAAUCAGAAAGCCACGGCUAACUACGUG